rnacentral:lncRNA from 1 species
GGACUGAAUUCAGCAUCUUGGCCUUGUCAGCACCCUGCUCCAAGCACCUGAGCAACCUCAGGCUCAUGAGGAAGGUCCUGCCUGGGAUGGGGUGGCUGCUGCCAGCAAGGGAAUUCCUAUGUCAAUGUGGCUCCUUCCUUCCUGCUAGUCCUGCUCUGCACACCAGCCCCUAGACCGGCUCUAGAGCAGGACUGGCUGGUGUCUCACAGGACAGCACAAGACUCUUCAAUAACCUUGGUUUCCUGCUCUUUCCAGGAUUUACCCAACAGCUGUAAAGGUGCUCAUUCCAUGCCCCUUUCCAAGGAGAAAUGAGCAGGACAAGCCCUGAGGGAUCACUUGGUCCAUGGCCAGAGUUCUUCAGGAGAGUGUCAGGGCUGGUCCCACCUGCAGAGGGGCGUUUCCUGCAGGUGAGUGUUCACAGCCCAAAAUCCCUGCUGGGGCUGGGGCCACUUUCCUGGCCCGGAGCUGCACGGAGCCCUUGGUGACUCCCACUCCCAGGUGGGAAUGUUCCUUGGUGUUUCCUCAGUGGUCCCAGCUGGCUGGGAAUGCGGGGCAGGAGGAGGCCGGGAGCCCAGGAAGGGACCCAGCACCUCCUGCCCUCGGUGUUUGCGGGGAGGAGCUGUGCCUCAGUGUCCCGCCACACCCGCAUCCCGGGGAUGGGCAGCGCUGGGAUGGACGUGGAUCGAGGGCUGCCCGCGGCUCCUCGGCCGGGGGCUGCUCUGACGGGCUCCGGAGCUGCUUCAGCCCGGACAGGCCCCGCCCGCAGCCCAGAAUUACCGAGGAACAGCUGGAACAUCUGGCCUUACCUGGGAAUGUCAGCGCGGUGCGUUUGAGGAGGGGCUCAGGCAGCAAUUCCCGGUGCCGACCUCCCGGAGCUCCUGCAUACCCCCAGGUGUGUCCCAGCCCCCCAAACCCCUUCCCUCCCAGCCUGGGGCCAUCAUCCCUCAGCAGCGUUAAAGCCAAGGGGAUCUUCCCCCCAGAAAUGAAACCCCAAGCAAUGCCCUCAGGGAGGCCUGUAAAUAAAAGCUCCUGA